rnacentral:lncRNA from 1 species
AGUCCUCUCCACCCCAAGGUAGGCAGCUUCCCGCUCCUCGUCUUGGGACCUAAACCCAGGAAGUCAAAUGUCCUUUUCUAGCAGGUCGCCUGGUUAGAGGCCGUGGACGAAGCGGUCCAGGCACAGCCAGCUGCAGGGCGCGGCCUCGGCGGCGCUGCUCGUGGCCCUGGUCAGUGAGCGCACUCACUCCUGGACUAAGCUCUAUGCAACUCAUUUUCAUCUAGCAUUACCUCUCCAAAACCUGAAUCUCCACAAGAAAGCCACACAGCAAUUAACCAGUGUUGCAAGAACUGCUUCUGUAAUAAAGGUGGGAAGACAAAUUGAUGCAACCCUCUUGAAAAGCAAUCUGGCAAUAUGAACCAAGAGCCAUGAAAAGGCUUAUGCUAUUAUAAUUAAAUGGCUGUAAUGUUGGCUGUAAAUAUGAAAUUUUCUUUCACACACCAAUGUUUUCAAGAAUGGCAUAUUCACAUGCAGUAUGUGAUGAAAGAAGCAGUAAAGGAUGCUAACAAAGCUAUUUCUUUGGACAAUCUGAACCUGACGGAGUCUUACUCUGUCGCCCAGGCAGGAGUGCAAUGGCACAAUCUUGGCUCACCACAACCUCCGCCUCCUGGGUUCAAGUGACUCUCCUGCCUGGCCAUAGAAGCAAACACAAACAUAGAGGAAUUGGCUUUGGGCAGAUGGAAGGACCUCAGAGAAAAGAAACAAAGGAAAGAAAACUGGAUGGAUAAAGGUUUGUAGAAAUACUAUUCACAGGAAGCAAAUAGGAAUUCCUUAUCGCUAAACAGACACUAAGUCAAUUGGGCAGAAGAUAUUCCAUAUUACUUUGUAACCUGUUCCCCUAUACUUGCCUUAUGUUGAAGACUUUAGUUGGUGACCACCCUUGAAUGCCAGAAAUAGCAAGUUAUUUAUUGUUAAACAUAUACAUGCAUGUAUCGAUUGGA